AUUGAACGCUGGCGGCAGGCCUAACACAUGCAAGUCGAGCGAGCGGCGGACGGGUGAGUAAUGUAUGGGGACUGCCCGAUAGAGGGGGAUAACUACUGGAAACGGUAGCUAAUACCGCAUACUAUCGGAUUACCCAGAUGGGAUUAGCUAGUGGGUGAGGUAAUGGCUCACCAAGGCGACGAUCCCUAGCUGGUCUGAGAGGAUGAUCAGCCACACUGGGACUGAGACACGGCCCAGACUCCUACGGAGGCAGCAGUGGGGAAUAUUGCACAAUGGGCGCAAGCCUGAUGCAGCCAUGCCGCGUGUAUGAAGAAGGCCCUAGGGUUGUAAAGUACUUUCAGCCGGGAGGCGUUACCGGCAGAAGAAGCGCCGGCUAACUGCGUGCCAGCAGCCGCGGUAAUUC
rnacentral:rRNA from 1 species